AACUUAGCCAAACAUAAAGUAAAUAACACAAGCAAAAGAUAUAAAGGAAAACAUAAAGUAAAAACUGAAAUAGAAACUUACUGAAGACAGAAGGGUACUUACGGCCAAAAGUGCCGCAGAAAACAUGAACAGAAAAUUAAACAGCUAUACCCAUAAGGGGCGACUACUCCUACCUAACUAUGGAAAGUAAAACUACAGCAACGGUCUCUCAAAAUUCGUGCUCCC
rnacentral:lncRNA from 1 species